rnacentral:tRNA from 1 species
UUGGGGAUUUAGCUCAGUGGUAGAGUGCUUGCCUAGGAAGCGCAAGGCCCUGGGUUCGGUCCCCACCUCCAAA